UACUGAGUGGCAAACGGGUGAGUAUAAUGUGGGAAUCUGCCUUUUGGUUUGGAAUAACACGGGGAAACUUGUGCUAAUACCGAAUAAGCCCUUACGGGGAAAGUUUUAACGCCGAAAGAUGAGCCCGCACUUGAUUAGCUAGUUGGUAAGGUAAAAGCUUACCAAGGCAAUGAUCAAUAGCUGUUCUUAGAGGAAGACCAGCCACAUUGGGACUGAGACACGGCCCAGACUCCUACGGGAGGCAGCAGUGAGGAAUCUUGCACAAUGGGGGAAACCCUGAUGCAGCGAUGCCGCGUGAGUGAAGAAGGCCUUUGGGUUGUAAAACUCUUUCGUCGGGGAAGAAAAUGACUGUACCCGAAUAAGAAGGUCCGGCUAACUUCGUGCCAGCAGCCGCGGUAAUACGAAGGGACCUAGCGUAGUUCGGAAUUACUGGGCUUAAAGAGCUCGUAGGUGGUUAAAAAAGUUGAUGGUGAAAUCCCAAGGCUUAACCUUGGAACUGCCAUCAAAACUUUUUAGCUAGAGUGUGAUAGAGGUAAGUGGAAUUUCUAGUGUAGAGGUGAAAUUCGUAGAUAUUAGAAAGAACACCAAAUGCGAAGGCACUUACUGGGUCACUACUGACACUGAGGAGCGAAAGCAUGGGUAGCGAAGAGGAUUAGAUACCCUCGUAGUCCAUGCUGUAAACGAUGUGUGCUAGACGUUGGAAAUAUAUU
rnacentral:rRNA from 1 species